rfam:Oryza glumipatula chromosome 3, whole genome shotgun sequence.
AAUAAAUAUAGUUUUACACUGUUCAUAUUUAAUGUUUGACCAUUUAUUUUAUUUGAUAAUUUUUUAUAAUUAAUAUUUUUAUUGUUAUUAGAUAAUAAAACAUGAAUGGUACUUUAUGCGUGACUACUUUUUCUAAUUUUUCAAAUAAGAUGAACGGUUAAACGUUGGACACAGAUACCAACGGCUGCACUUAUU